rnacentral:rRNA from 1 species
UACGGAGGGGGCUAGCGUUGUUCGGAAUUACUGGGCGUAAAGCGCACGUAGGCGGCUUUGUAAGUUAGAGGUGAAAGCCCGGGGCUCAACCUUGGAAUUGCCUUUGAUACUGGCAGUCUUGAGUUCGGGAGAGGUGAGUGGAACUGCGAGUGUAGAGGUGAAAUUCGUAGAUAUUCGCAAGAACACCAGUGGCGAAGGCGGCUCACUGGCCCGAUACUGACGCUGAGGCACGAA